rnacentral:rRNA from 1 species
UACGGGGGGGGGCAAGCGUUGUUCGGAAUUACUGGGCGUAAAGGGCCAGUAGGCGGCCAACUAAGUCGGAUGUGAAAUCCCCAGGCUCAACUUGGGAACUGCAUCCGAUACUGGAUGGCUUGAAUUCGGGAGAGGGAUGCAGAAUUCCAGGUGUAGCGGUGAAAUGCGUAGAUAUCAGGAGGAACACCUGUGGCGAAAGCGGCUCACUGGACCACAACUGACGCUGAGGCGCGAAAGCUAGGGGAGCAAACAGG